UAGCCUUGACAUAUUUUAGAACUCCGUAGAGAUACAGAGGUGCCUUCGGGAGCUAAUAUACAGGUGCUGCACGGCUGUCGUCAGCUCGUGUCGUGAGAUGUUGGGUUAAGUCCCGCAACGAGCGCAACCCUCGUCACUAGUUACUAACGGUUCGGCCGAGGACUCUAGUGAGACUGCCUUCGUAAGGAGGAGGAAGGUGAGGACGACGUCAAGUCAUCAUGGCCCUUACGGCUAGGGCAACACACGUGCUACAAUGGCCAGGACAGUGAGACGCGAUACCGCGAGGUGGAGCAAAUCUAUAAACCUGGUCUCAGUUCGGAUUGUAGUCUGCAACUCGACUACAUGAAGCUGGAAUCACUAGUAAUCGUAGAUCAGCUAUGCUACGGUGAAUACGUUCCCGGGUCU
rnacentral:rRNA from 1 species